CGUAGGCAGCGAGCGUUGUUCGGAGUUACUGGGCGUAAAGCGUGCGUAGGCGGUGUUGUAAGUUUUGGUGUGAAAUCUCCCGGCUUAACCGGGAGGGUGCGCCGAAAACUGCAAGGCUGGAGUAUGGGAGAGGUAGGCGGAAUUCCUGGUGUAGCGGUGAAAUGCGUAGAUAUCAGGAGGAACACCAGUGGUGUAGACGGCUUACUGGACCAUGACUGACGCUGAGGCACGAAAGCGUGGGGAGCAAACAGGAUU
rnacentral:rRNA from 1 species